UGUAUCCCAAAUCACACCCUAUUCCCUAUAUACAGUAGGUCCACGUCCACGUCCCAAAUCACACCCUAUUCCCUAUAUACAGUAGUUCCACGGCUGUGUCCCAAAUCACACCCUAUUCCCUAUAUACAGUAGUUCCACGUCCCAAAUCACACCCUAUUCCCUAUAUACAGUAGUUCCACGUUGUGUCCCAAAUCACACCCUAUUCCCUAUAUACAGUAGUACACUACUUUUGACUAGAGCCCAUAGGGCUCUGUUUAAAAGUACUGCAAUAUGUAGGGAGAGAAGGGUGCCAUUUUAAAACAUACCCCACUUCUGUCCCAAUUCUGAGGCACAUGUUAAACAUACCCCCCCCCC
ensembl:lncRNA